rnacentral:rRNA from 1 species
GAUGAACGCUGGCGGCGUGCCUAAUACAUGCAAGUCGAGCGAACAGACGAGGAGCUUGCUCCUCUGACGUUAGCGGCGGACGGGUGAGUAACACGUGGAUAACCUACCUAUAAGACUGGGAUAACUUCGGGAAACCGGAGCUAAUACCGGAUAAUAUAUUGAACCGCAUGGUUCAAUAGUGAAAGACGGUUUUGCUGUCACUUAUAGAUGGAUCCGCGCCGCAUUAGCUAGUUGGUAAGGUAACGGCUUACCAAGGCAACGAUGCGUAGCCGACCUGAGAGGGUGAUCGGCCACACUGGAACUGAGACACGGUCCAGACUCCUACGGGAGGCAGCAGUAGGGAAUCUUCCGCAAAGGGCGAAAGCCUGACGGAGCAACGCCGCGUGAGUGAUGAAGGUCUUCGGAACGUAAAACUCUGUUAUUAGGGAAGAACAAAUGUGUAAGUAACUAUGCACGUCUUGACGGUACCUAAUCAGAAAGCCACGGCUAACUACGUG